rnacentral:rRNA from 1 species
UGGUGGAGUGAUUUGUCUGGUUAAUUCCGUUAACGAACGAGACCUCGACCUACUAAAUAGUUCGGCGAAUUCUUAGGAAUUCGUACGUAACUUCUUAGAGGGACUAUCGGUGGUUAGCCGAUGGAAGUUCGAGGCAAUAACA